CAGGCUCAAGGCUGGCUAGUUUGAAUACUUCCAGCAGGUUCUGGGGCCGAGGGGCUGUCCCUAGCUGCCUGGUGCCUGGCCCCCCCGGGGGGGGGGUUAGGGCAGGGGUUGAGUGGCCCGGAGUGUGAGAGCCCCGUAAAGGAGGAGGUUGGGGUGUGGGCCCCGGUUUGGUUGGUUUGUGUAGAUAAACUUUGGGCAAGUCCUUCACUGUCUCGAGGAUUCAGCUAGCCCUUUGAGGGGCAGUCUCUCCAGGAUAGCCAAGGCCCCCCCAAUGUCAAGACAUCAGAAAAUAUAGCAAAUUUUAAAAACGUGAUUAAUACACCUGCCUUGCGGCGACCUUGCAGAGAGGACGGGGAAGGCAGGGUGACCUCCCCCCCAGGCCAGGUGGAGGUCUGCUUAAAUUCCACUGAUUGUAAAUGUGGUCAUGAGGUUGCUAAUGUCCCUGCAGGUCCCCCAGGUAGGUGGCACUUGUUCUCCAGAGAUCAGAACCAGCCAAGGGCUGGGGGAAGGAAAAGGAAAGAAAUCAGAGGGAGGAGACAUAGAGGAUGGAAGAGGACCACGUCCAAUCAGACAGACAGGUGGACUAGGUGGCCAGGUGACGAUCACCAAAUGGGCAAACCCUCCCAGGACCCAAUAUCCCAGGACCCCCAGUGUACGAGGCCACCCAGGAUCUGACAAGCAUCCAGGGAAGGAGAGAUGGAUGGUGAGGAAGAAAAAGAGAACUGAGCCUGGAGUGUCUGGCUGGAGAACCCUGGGCUGUCCUGCAGUCAACAGUCUCGCUGUUGAGAUGGGAAUGCUGAAACAGAGAGGGGAGGGGGCUCAUCUAAGGUCACACAGCAAGGGUGGGGCAGAGCAGGGACUGGGAGUCUGGUCUUUUAGUGACAGAGGCAUCCCUGUGGGGUCCCCACAUCUCCUUUGGUAUACACAGCUGGACCCUAUUGUAAGUUCUGCUUGGGUUUCAGGUUUCUCCUAGGGAUGUGUGGCAAGAGGGCACCAUCAGCUCCAAGCUGGCCUCCCUGACACACGUCCCUGUCACCUCAGAGUCUGGGGCAGAGCCUCUCUCUGCUUUGGGCUCAUUCUGUGUUCACACCUAAAACCCAAGCCUAGUACGUCUGCUCUCCGGAGCUCACCCUUAGUGCGAUGACCACAGAGUUUACUUAGCACAGUGCCGAGACUUGGUACUUGUUACAUGCGUGGUGCCCAUUUGAAUGCGCAUGUGGUUUGUCUGACUCCUCACUGUAACCCUAGCAGGUAAGUCUCAUUAUUAUUCCCAUUUUACAGAUGAGGAGACUGAGGUCCAUUUUGCAGACAUUUCCAAAAGGGAGAACAAGUGGAGAUCCUUUUCCAGAUACUGGGUUCAAUACGCGUACUUAAGUGGCUUCCAUAUCAUGAACUUCUUUUUGUUAAACACAUACUGCCUGGCACUUAACAUACACGAUUUCAUCUCAUCUUUGCAGCAGCCUUAUGAAACUGGCACCAUCAACAUCGCUAUUUAACAGACGAGGAAGCUGAGGCAGAAAGAGGUGACCUGUCUCAGUCAAGAUGACACGGCCACCCACAGGCUGUGUGGGGCUUGUCGCGUUGGCAGCCACUGACCCAGAUUCAGAAAACUGCCUGAAGCCUCUGGGAAGGUGUCCUUAGACGGUCUUGCCCUUCCACGUCCAGUGGGGGCUGUGAAGUCCUCCCUUUGCGGGAUUUUUAGCUGCAGCUCAUGAACGGACUUUGAGGAACCAGAAACGCACGUGGCCAGCGACUUACCUUCUGUCAGACACAACUGAGUCAUUGGAAGGUCAUCUGGUGGAACCCCACUUUGCAGGUGGUAGACUGAGGCCCCCAGGGGAGGCUUUCUUCUAUAAUAGUAUGACAAAAAAAAUUUUUUAAAUCUUUGUUAUAGCGACACAUUUUCUCCAUGAAGGCUUAUCAAAUUUGGAAACUGCAAAUAAGGAGAAUAUAAAAAAUUGCCUAUAAUUAAUCUUGCCAUUCAGGUAUAACCAGGCAGCCUUGAUUUAAUAUAUGACUAGAAGAAUGUAAAACAUAGAAUAGGCCUUCUAAAGAUGGGCCAGCUGUGGGGGGGGGGGUGGUGGAGCUCAGUGGAAGAUUGCAUGCCGAGCAUCCAGGAGGUCCUGGGUUCCAUCCCCAGUACCUCCAGUAAAAAUAAAAUAAAACACAGAAACCUGAUCACCUCCCCUCCCCACCAAGAAACCAAGUUUCAGCUCAAGAGUAUCAAUCACAUUUCCAAUAAUUAAAAUUAAAAAGGAAAGAUGCAUCGGUCUACACGAUGGUUCCCGGCCUGCUUUUCCACAAACGUCUUGAAUGUUGUUCUUCCAAAUCCUUCAAUGGCCUGUGACAUCGGGUUCCAUGGCCUCUGGGAUUGCAUGAAAUAAAUGAAGCGAUUUAACCAAA